UUCCUGCAAGGAGGGAAGGCGGGCGGGUGCAGAGUUGUCCUAGGUAGAGAGACUGGGCAGAGGGUCAGAGUAGGAGGACUGGCUCUGUCUUUCUCAUUCACUGAUCUUCUCCCUGGGGUCCUAGAGGGUCUGAACACCCAGCUCCCUGCCCCUUCCCGCUUCUCUGUGGCUGCAGCCUCCUACCAUCCCUCCUGAUUCUGGUUAGCAUUUGAGGGGACUCAGCUCACUGACCUUGACCCUGAAAGUUGUCAGGCUCAGAACCCCUUUUCUGAGGCCAAACGCUGCUAAUUUCCAUCUCCUGAGGCUGCCUGCGGUCUGUGAGCCCUCCCUGGGUCCCUCACUCUCCCAGCUUGUAGCUGGCUCCCUCCACGCCUGUCCCUCCCCACAGGGGCAUCUGUCACCUCACAGUGGGGGACGCUGGAGCUCCUUGGGUAUCCGGGUGCUGCUCCCAGUGCCUGUGGCCUUGGGGACGCCGGAAGGGUAGAAAGCCCAGUUACUGCCCUCCCAUAACUCCCAGAAGCAGUGGAAGGAGGGUGCCCAGCCCAUCUGGUGCACAAUACCGCGCCUGGCCCUAACUAUGCCUCUUUAUAUUAUCUUUCUAGCAAUUGCCUUGCGGAUUACAAUACGUAGCCUUACAGCUAUGAACAAGCCCCCAGCUCCCAGGUGAGCACCCUACCACAGUCUAUGUACAGUUAAUAUGGGGCCACUUUACCUAAAAUGUGAGAUCCCCACAGCAGUAAAUUCCAUUAUUCCCAUACUUUGUGUUAUCGUUGUCAUACACCAAGCAAUACAUUUCCUCACAUAGUGCAUUAUUUCAAGUGAAUUAAUUAUAUAUAUAUUUUGAGACAGGGUCUCUGUCUGUUGCCCAGGCUGGAGUGCAGUGGCAUGAUCUUGGUUCACUGCAACCUUGAACUCCUGGGCUUAAGUGAUCCUCCCACUUCUGCCUCCUGAGUAGCUGGGACCACAGGCACAUGCCACCACACCCAGCUCAUUUUAAAAUCUUUUUGUACAAAUGGGGUCUUGAUAUAUUGCCCAGGCUGGUAUGGAACUUCUGGUCUCAAGCCAUCCUCCCACCUUGGCCUCCCAAAGUACUGGGAUUACAGGUGUGAGCUACCACACCUGGCCUGUUUUUAAUUUAGAUAGCUUUGUUCAAAGAAAUUAAAAGAAGAAAUAAAUACAUCAUUUUGUAUUUGCAGAUGCUUUUCAUUUCUUCCAGCAGAGAAUUUCUAUCAGGCAUCAGGUCUCUUCAAUUUCACCACCUUCCCUCAGGAUCUGCUGUGGUGUCAUUCACUGAUGACGAAUCUCUCAGCUUCCAUUUGUCUAACGGGUCUUUAAUGUCACCCUCGUUUCUGAAGGACAUUUUAACAAGAUGGAUAAUUCUGGCUUGGCACUUUUUUCUUUUAGUGCCUUAAAGGUGCUGUCCCAUUGUCUUCUGGGUUCCAUUGUUUCUGGGACAAAUCUGCUGUCAUUCGUGUUGUUGUAUGUCAUUUGUUCACCCCUCUGGUUGCUUUAAGAUGUUCUCUUUAUCUUUUUUUUUCAGGAACUUGACCAAGAUGUGCCUUCUUAGGGGUGGUUCUCUUUCUAUUUUUCCUCUUGGGAUUUGUUGAGCUUCUUGGGAAUUUUUCUGCUGUUAUUUCUUCAAAUACCUGUGUAUAUUUGUCCCAUUCAUUCUCUGUAUUCUCUGGGAGUCCAAUCACAUGUAUGCUAGAUGGCCUGAAAUUGUCCCACUGGUCACUGAAGUUUUCUUCAUUUAUUUUUUUAAUUUUUAAAAGUUUUUUAGAGGCCAGGUGCAGUGGCUCACGCCUGUAAUCCCAGCAUGUUGGGAGGCCGAGGUGGGCAGAUCCAGAGGUCAGGAGAUCGAGACCAUCCUGGCCAACAUGGUGAAACCCCGUCUCUACUAAAAAUACAAUAAAAAUACAAAACUUAGCCAGGCAUAGUGGUGGGUGCCUGUAGUCCCAGCUACUCAGGAGGCUGAGGCAGGAGAAUUGGUUGAUCCCAGGAGGUGGAGGUUGCGGUGAGCUGAGAUUGUGGCACUGCACUCCAGCCUAGGUGACAGAGUGAGACUCCAUCUCUUCUAGAAAAAAUUUUUUUUCUUUCUUUUUUUUAUUUUGAGAGGGAGUCUCACUCUGUCGCCCAGGCUGGUCUCAAACUCCUGGGCUCAAGUGAUGCUGCCACUUCGCCCUCCCAAAGUACCGGAAUUACAGGUGUGAGCCAUGAUGCUCAGCUCAGCUCUCAUCGUUUGAAACAGAGUUUUGUUUUUUGUUUUCCCUGCUGUUCCUUAGAUUGGAUAAUUUCCUUAGAUUGGAUAAUUUUCUUUGGUCUAUACUUGAGUUCACUAAUCCUGCUUUGGCAGUUUCCAAUCUGCUGUUGUGCCUGCCUGUAAGUUUUAUUUCCAGAUAUGCUGCGUUUCAGAUCUAGGAUCUCCACUUGAUUAUUACUGUUUUUUUUUUUCGCAUUCCUCUGCUAGGAUUCUCCAUCAGCUCACUCAUUCUAGCAAACAUUUCUUUUACAUGUUUAUGUCACUGCUUUUAAAAGCCCCUGUGUGUAAAUUCCAAACCUCUAAGCCAUCUCAGGGUCUGUUUCUAUGAAGUACUUCUUCUCUUAUUACGGGUCCCAUUUCCCUGGUUCUCUGCGUGCCUAGCAGUUCUUGGUUUUGCGCUGGGCUCUGUGUCUGGCAUGUGGUAGACAGGGCUGUGGUGCUGUCCUGCAAGGGGGCUGAUUUCACUCUGGUGGGCAGGUAGAUUACUGGUGGAUCAUUUUGGCCCUGCCAGGCUUUAUCUUGUACUUUGCUAGGGGAGGAUUCGUUUUUGAACUUAGUCCUGAAGUACAAUCUUAAUUUUAGGGUGUGGCCUUUCUGGGGUCUCAACUGAACACCCAAGAUGUUCAGAAAAGCCUCUCUGCGGCCUCCUGUCUCUCAGGUCACAGCUCUUUGCUGCCUGUUGUUUGGUGCCUGGAAACAUUUGCUCAUGCAUUAUAUCCAGUUUAUACAGCUGUCAGGAGCCUGGAAUGGCACCCACAUCCCCAGGUGAGCAUCUGACAGCCUGGAACAGCACCCCACACCCCAGGGGAGCAUCUUACAGCCUGGAACAGCACCCCACACCCCAGGGGAGCAUCUUACAGCCUGGAACAGAACCCCACACCUUCAGGGGAGCAUCGUACAGCCUGGAACGGCAUCCAUACCCACAGGUGAAUGUGUGACAGCCUGAAACAGCAUUCUCCAACCCCAGGUGAGGAUCUGACAACCUGGAAUAGAACCCCACACCCACAGGUGAGCAUCUGACAGCCUGAAACAGCACCGCACACUCCCAGGUGAGCACAGGUGAACAUCUGACAGCCUGGAAUGGCACCCACACUCACAGGUGAGUGUGGGACAGACUGGAGCAGCAUUCUCCAGCCCCAGGUGAACUUGCGACAAUCCAAAACAGAACCCUACACACCCAGGUGAGCAUCUGACAGCCAAGGAUGGCACCCCACACACCUAGGGGAGCAUCUUACAGCCUGGAACAGCACCCCACACCCCCAGGUGAGUAGCUGACAGCCUGGGAAUGCACCCCCACACCCAGUUGAGCAUCUGAAACCCUAUAGCACCACCCCCGACCAACAGGUGAAAAUCUUACAGCCUGGAACGGCACCUUCCACCCCCAGGUGAGCAUCUUCCAGCCUGAAACAGCACCCCACACCCCCAGGUGAGUGUCUUACAGCCUGGAACGGUAUCCAUACCCGCAGAUGAGUGUGUGACAGCCUAGAACAGCAUUCUCCAACCCCAGGUGAGCUUGUGACAAUCUGGAACAGGACCCCACAACCCCAGGUGAGCAUCUGACAGCCUAAAACAGCACCCUCCACCCUUAGGUGAUCAUUUGACAGCCAGGAAUGACAACCCACAUAAGCAUCUGACAGCCUAGAACGGCACCCCCCAGUUAGGUGAGAAUCUGAAUGCCUGGAUCAACGCUCAAACCUUCAGGUGAGCAUCUGACAGCCUGGAACAGCAGUGCCCACACCCAGGUGAGCAUCUGAAACCCUCCAGCAGCACUCACCACUCCAAGGUGAGCAUUUGACAGCCUGGAACAGCACCCUUCAUGUUCAGGUGAGCAUCUGAUAGUUUUGUUUUAUGUUGAGAUGGGGUCUCUCUCUGUCGCCCAGGCUACAGGCCAGUGGUGCGAUCUUGGCUCACUGCAACCACCACCCCCAGGUUUAAUCGAUUCUCCUGCCUCAGCCUCCUGAGUAGCUGCGACUACAGGCUGAUUUUUGUAUUUUUAGUAGAGACGGGGUUUCACCAUGUUGACCAGGCUGGUCUUGAACUCCUGGUGAUCCACCCACCUCGGCCUCCCAAAGUGCUGGGAUUACAAGCACAAGUCAUCGCACCUGGCUGAUCAUCUGACAGUUUUAAAUGGCACCUCACACCCUCAGGUGAGCAUCUGACAGCCUGGAAUGGCACUCUGCAUCCCCAAGUGAGCUUCUGACAGCCUGGAAUGGCACUCUGCAUCCCCAGGUGAGCAUCUGACAGCCUGGAAUGGCACUCUACACCCUCAGGUGAGCAUCUGACAGCGUGGAAUGGCACUCUACAUCCCCAGGUGAGCAUCUGACAGCCUGGAAUGGCACUCUACAUCCCCAGGUGAGCUUCUGACAGCCUGGAAUGGCACUCUACACCCUCAGGUGAGCUUCUGACAGCCUGGAAUGGCACUCUGCAUCCCCAGGUGAGCAUCUGACAGCCUGGAAUGGCACUCUACACCCUCAGGUGAGCAUCUGACAGCGUGGAAUGGCACUCUACAUCCCCAGGUGAGCAUCUGACAGCCUGGAAUGGCACUCUGCAUCCCCAGGUGAGCUUCUGACAGCCUGGAAUGGCACUCUACACCCUCAGGUGAGCUUCUGACAGCCUGGAAUGGCACUCUACACCCUCAGGUGAGCAUCUGACAGCCUGGAAUGGCACUCUACAUCCCCAGGUGAACUUCUGACAGCCUGGAAUGGCACCCCACACCCUCAGGUGAGCAUCUGACAGCCUGGAAUGGCACUCUACAUCCCCAGGUGAGCAUCUGACAGCCUGGAAUGGCACUCUACAUCCCCAGGUGAGCAUCUGACAGCCUGGAACAGCACCUCACACCCACAGGUGAGUGUGUGACAGCCUGGAAUAGCAUUCUCCAACCCCAGGUGAGCUUGUGACAAUCUGGAACAGGACCCCACUACCCCAGGUGAGCAUGUGAUAGCCGAAAACAGCACCCUCCACCCCCAGGGGAUCAUCUGAUAGCCAAGAAUGGCACUACUACCCUGAGGUGAGAAUCUGACAGCCUGGAUCAGCACUUCGACCUUCAAGUGAGUAUCUGAGAGCCUGGAACAGCACCCCACACCCCCAGGUGAGCAUCUGACAGUCGGGAACAGCACCUCACACCCACAGAUGAGACUCUGACAACGUAGAAUGUCACUCUCACCCCCAGGUGAGCAUCUGAAACUCUGGAUCAGCUCUCCCCCAUGCAAGGUGAGCAUCUGACAGCAGGGAACAGCACUUGACACCCCCAGGUGAGCCUCUGACAGCCUGAAACCAGACCCACACCACAGGUGAGCAGCUGACAGACUGCAACAGCACCCCACACCAUCAAGCGAGCAUCAGACAGCCCUAAAUGACACCCCAGCCCCCCAGGUGAGCAUCACACCAUCCAAAUGGCACCCCAAAUCCCCAAUAAGCAUCUGAUAGCCUGAAACAGCACUCCACACCUUCAGGGGGGCAUCUGACAGCCUAGAACGGUAUCCCACACCCCCAGGUAAGCAUCAGAAAGCCUGGAAUGGCACCCCAAACCCCCAGGUGAGCAACUUUGCAGCCUGGGACAGUACCCUCCACCACCAGGUGAGCACUUCACAGCCUAAAACUGCACCUCACAGGCCAAGGUGAGCAUCUGACUGCCUGGAACGGCACUCACACCCCGAGGUGAAUGUGUGACAGCCUGAAACAGCAUUCUCCAAUCCCAGGCGAGGAUCUGACAACCUGGAAUAGAACUCCACACUGGCAGGUGAGCAUCUGACAGCAUUGAAUGGCACCCACACCCAUAGAUGAGUAUGGGACAGACUGGAGCAGCAUUCUCUAGCCCCAGGUGAACUUGUGACAAUCCGAAACAGAACCCCACACACGCAGGUAAGCAUCUGACAGCCAAGGACGGCACCCCACACACCCAGGUGAGCAUCUGACAGCCUAGAAUGGCACCACCACACUUAGGUGAGAAUCUGACAGCCUGGAUCAGCACUUCAAUUUUCAGCUGAGUGUCUGAGAGCCUGGAACAGCACCCCACACCUCCCGGUGAUUAUCUGACAGCCUAGAACAGCACCCUCCACCCCCAGAUGAGCAUCUUACAGCCGGAAAAACACCCUCCACCACCAGGUGAUCAUCGGACAGCCUGGAAUGGUACCACCACUUAGGGGAGCAUCUGACAGCCUGAAGCAGCAUCUUCCACCUCUAAGUGAGCAUCUGACGGUCUGGAGCAUCAUCCACACCCCCAGGUGAGCAUCUGACGGUCUGGAGCAGAACCCACACGCCCAGGCGAGCAUCUGACAGCCUGGAGCAGCACCCACACCACCAGGCGACCAUCUGACAGCCUGGAGCAGCACCCACAACCCCAGGUGAGCAUCUGACAGUCUGGAGCAGAAUUCUCCAACCCCAGGUGAGCAUCUGACAACCUGGAGCAGCACCCACACCCCCAGGUGAGCAUCUGACAGUCUAGAGCAGCAUCCACACCCCCAGGCGAGCAUCUGACAGCCUGGAGCAGCACCCACACCCCCAGGCGAGCAUCUGACGGCCUGGAGCAGCACCCACACCCCCAGGCGAGCAUCUGACGGCCUGGAGGAGCACCCACACACACAGGUGAGCAUCUGACGGCCUGGAGCAGCACCCACACCCACAGGUGAGCAUCUGACAGCCUGGAGCAGCACCCACACCCCCAGGCGAGCAUCUGACGGCCUGGAGCAGCACCCACACCCCCAGGCGAGCAUCUGACGGCCUGGAGGAGCACCCACACCCACAGGUGAGCAUCUGAUGGCCUGGAGCAGCACCCACACCCACAGGUGAGCAUCUGACAGCCUGGAGCAGCACCCACACCCACAGGUGAGCGUCUGACAGCCUGGAACAGCACCCACACCCCAGGUGAGCAUCCGACUGCCUGGUACACCACUCACACCCCGAGGUGAGCAUCCAACAGCCUGGAGUAGCACCCACACCCCCAGGCGAGCAUCCGACUGCCUGGUACACCACUCACACACACAGGUGAGCAUCCAACAGCCUGGAAUAGCACCCUGCACCCCCAGGCGAGCAUCCGACAGCCUGGAACAGCACCCACACCCCCAGGUGAGCCUUCGACAGCCUGGAGCAGCACCCACAGCCCCAGGCGACAAUCUGACAGCGUGGAGCAGGACCAACACCCCCAGGUGAGCAUCUGACAGCCUGGAGCAGCACCCUGCACCCCCAGGUUAGCAUCUGACAGACUGGAACAGCACCCACACCUCCAGGUGAGCAUCCGACAGCCUGGAACAGCAACCACACCCCCAGGUGAGCAUCUGACGGCCUGAAACAGCACCCAAACCCCCAGGUGAGCAUCUGACGGCCUGGAACAGCACCCACAACCCCAGGUGAGCAUCCCACAGCCUGGAGCAGCAGCCACACCCCCAGGCAAGCAUCUGACAGCCUGGAGCAGCACCCAAACCCCCAGGCGAGCAUCUGACAGCCUGGAGCAGCGCCCACACCCCCAGGUGAGCAUCUCACCGCCUGGAGCAGCGCCCACACCCCCAGGGGAGCAUCUGACCGCAUGGAGCAGCACGCACACCCACAGGCGAGCCUCUGACCGUAUGGAGCAGCACCCACACCCCCAGGCGAGCAUCUGACCGCAUGGAGCAGCACUCACACCCGAGGCGAGCAUCUGACCCCAUGGAGCAGCACCAACACCCCCAGGCGAGCAUCUCACCACCUGGAGCAGCGCCCACACCCCCAGGGGAGCAUCUGACCGCAUGGAGCAGCACGCACACCCACAGGCGAGCCUCUGACCGCAUGGAGCAGCACUCACACCCGAGGCGAGCAUCUGACCCCAUGGAGCAGCACCAACACCCCCAGGCGAGCAUCCCACAGCCUGGAGCAGCACCCACACCCCCUGGCAAGCAUUCGACAGCCUGGAGCAGCACCCACACACCCAGGCGAGCACCCGACAGACUGGAGCAGCACCCACACCCCAGGCGAGCAUUUGACAGCCUGGAGCAGCGCCCACAUCCCUAGGCGAGCAUCCGACAGCCUGGAGCAGCACCUACACCGCCAGGUGAGCAUCUGACAGCCUGAAACAGCACCCACACCCCCAGGUGACCAUCUGACAGCCUGCAACAGCACCCACACCCCCAGGUGACCAUCUGACAGCCUGAAACAGCACCCAUACCCCCAGGCGAGCAUCCGACAGCCUGGAGCAGCACCCACACCCCCAGGUGAGCAUCCGACAGCCUGAAACAGCACCCACACCCCCAGGUGACCAUCUGACAGCCUGGAACAGCACACUGCAACCCCUGGUGAGCGUCUGACAGCCUGGAACAGCACCCACACACCCAGGUGAGCAUCUGACAGCCUGAAACAGCACCCACACCCCCAGGUGACCAUCUGACAGCCUGGAACAGCAAACUGAACACCCAGGUGAGCAUCUGACCACCCGGAACAGCACCCACACCCCCAGGUGAGCAUCUGACAGCCUGGAACAGCACCCACACCCCCAGGUGAGCAUCCGACAGCCUGGAGCAGCACCCACACCACUAGGGGAGCAUCUGACAGCCUGGAACAGCACCCACACCCCCAGGCGAGCAUCUGACAGCCUGGAGCAGCACCCCACACCCCCAGGUGAGCAUCUGACAGCCUGGAACAGAACCCACACCCCCAGGUGAGCAUCUGACAGGCUGGAACAGCACCCACACCCCCAGGUGAGCAUCCGACAGCCUGGAGGAGCGCCCACACCCCCAGGGGAGCAUCUGACCGCAUGGAGCAGCACCCACACACACAGGCGAGCAUCUGACAGCCUGGAGCAGCAACCACACCCCCAGGCGAGCAUCUGACAGCCUGGAGCAGCGCCCACAACCCCAGGUGUGCAUUUGACAGCCUGUAGCAGCGCCCAAACCCCCAGGUGAGCAUCUGAGAGCCUGGCGCAGCGUCCACACCCCCAGGCGAGUAUCUGUCAGCCUGGAGCAGCGCCCACACCCCCAGGCGAGCAUCUGACCGCAUGGAGCAGCGCCCACACCCGCAGGCGAGCAUAUGACCGCAUGGAGUAGCGCCCACACCCCCAGGCGAGCAUCUGACCGCAUGGAGCAGCGCCCACACCCCCAGGCGAGCAUCUGACCGCAUGGAGCAGCACCCACACCCACAGGCGAGCAUCUGACCGCACGGAGCAGCACUCACACCCCAGGCGAGCAUAUGACCUUAUGGAGCAGCACCAACACCCCCAGGCGAGCAUCCCACAGCCUGGAGCAGCACCCACAGCCCCAGGUGAGCAUCUGACAGCCUGGAGCAGCAACCACACCCCCAGGCGAGCAUCUGACAGCCUGGAGCAGCGCCCACAACCCCAGGUGUGCAUUUGACAGCCUGUAGCAGCGCCCAAACCCCCAGGUGAGCAUCUGAGAGCCUGGCGCAGCGUCCACACCCCCAGGCGAGUAUCUGUCAGCCUGGAGCAGCGCCCACACCCCCAGGCGAGCAUCUGACCGCAUGGAGCAGCACCCACACCCGCAGGCGAGCAUAUGACUGCAUGGAGUAGCGCCCACACCCCCAGGCGAGCAUCUGACCGCAUGGAGCAGCGCCCACACCCCCAGGCGAGCAUCUGACCGCAUGGAGCAGCGCCCACACCCCCAGGCGAGCAUCCGACAGCCUGGAAAAGCGCCCAUAUCCCUAGGCGAGCAUCCGACCGCCUGGAGCAGCGCCCACACACCCAGGGGCGCAUCCGACAGCCUGGAGCAGCACCCACAUCCCUAGGCGAGCAUCUGACAGCAUGGAGCAGCACCGACACCCCCUGGUGAGCAUUGGACAGCCUGGAGCAGCACCCACACACCCAGGCAAGCAUCCGACAGCCUGGAGCAGCACCCACACCCUAGGCGAGCGUUUGACAGCCUGGAGCAGCACCCACAUGCCUAGGCGAGCAUCCGACAGCCUGGAGCAGCACCCACACCCCCAGGCCAGGAUCUGACAGCCUGGAGCAGCGCCAACACCCACAGGCGAGCAUCUGACGGCGUGAAGCAGCGCCCAAACCCCCAGGCGAGCAUCUGACAGCCUGGAGCAGCGCCCACACCCCCAGGUGAGCAUCUGACAGCCUGAAGCAGUGCCCACACCCCCAGGCGAGCAUCUGACAGCCUGGAGCAGCGCCCACACCCCCAGAUGAGCAUCUGACAGCCUGGAGCAGUGCCCACACCCCCAGGCGAGCAUCUGACAGCCUGGAGCAGUGCCCACACCCCCAGGUGAGCAUCUGACAGCCUGGAGCAGCACCCACACACCCAGGCGAGCAUCCGACAGCCUGGAGCAGCACCCACACCCACAGGCGAGCAUCCGACAGCCUGGAGCAGCACCCACAACCCCAGGCGAGCAUCCGACAGCUGGGAGCAUCACCCACACCCCCAGGCGAGCAUCCGACAGCCUGGAGCAGCACCCACACCCCCAGGCGAGCAUCUGACAGCCUGGAGCAGCAGCCACACCCCCAGGCGAGCAUCUGACAGCCUGGAGCAGCACCCACAUCCCCAGGCGAGCAUCUGACAGCCUGGAGCAGUGCCCACACCCCCAGGUGAGCAUAUGACCACCUGGAGCAGCACCCACACCCCCAGGCGAGCAUCUGACAGCCUGGAAUAGCACCCCACAUGUCCAGGUGAGCCUCUGACAGCCUGGAGCAGCACCCACUCCCCCAGGCGAGCAUCUGACUGCAUGGAACAGUACCCCCCACCCCCAGGUGAGCAUCUGACUGCCCGGAACAGCAACCACACCCCCAGGUGAGCAUCUGACAGCCUGGAACAGCACCCCACACCCCCAGGGGAGCAUCUGACAUCCUGGAACAGUACCCCACACUUCCAGGUGAGCAUCUGACAGCCUGGAACAGCACCCCAUACCCCCAAGUGAGCAUCUGACAUCCUGGAACGGCACCCCACACCCCCAGGUGAGGAUCUGACAGCCUGGAACAGCACCCACACCCCCAGGUGAGCAUCUGACAGCCUGGAAACAGCACUCUGCCCACCCAGGUGAGCAUCUGACAGCCUGGAGCAGCACCCACACCCCGAGGUGAGCAGCUGACAGCCUGGAGCAGCACCCACACCCUCAGGUGAGCAUGUGACCGCCUGGAGCAGCACCCAGACCCCCAGGCGAGCAUCCGACCGCAUGGAGCAGCAUUCCACACCCCAGGCGAGCAUUUGACAGCCUGGAGCAGCACCCACAUCCCUAGGCGAGCAUCCGACAGCCUGGAGCAGCACCCACACCCCCAGGCCAGGAUCUGACAGCCUGGAGCAGCGCCAACACCCACAGGCGAGCAUCUGACAGCCUGGAGCAGCGCCUAAACCCCCAGGCGAGCAUCUGACAGCCUGGAGCAGCGCCCACACCCCCAGGUGAGCAUCUGACAGGCUGGAGCAGCACCCACACCCCCAGGCGAGCAUCUGACAGCCUGGAGCAGCACCCACACCCCCAGGUGAGCAUCUGACAGCCUGAAACAGCACCCACACCCCCAGGUGACCGUCUGACAGCCGGGAACAGCACCCACACCCCCAGGUGAGCAUCUGACCGCCCGGAACAGCAACCACACCCACAGGUGAGCAUCUGACAGCCUGGAACAGCAAACUGAACACCCAGGUGAGCAUCUGGCAGUAUGGAACAGCACCCACACCCCCAGGCGAGCAUCUGACAGCCUGGAACAGCACCCACACACCCAGGUGAGCAUCUGACAGCCUGGAACAGCACCCACACCCCCAGGUGAGCAUCCGAUAGCCUGGAGCAGCACCCACACCGCUAGGUGAGCAUCUGAGAGCCUGGAACAGCACCCACACCCCCAGGCGAGCAUCUGACAGCCUGGAACAGAACCCAAACCCCCCAGGUGAGCAUCUGACAGGCUGGAAUAGCACCCACACCCCCAGGUGAGCAUCCGACCACCUGGAGCAGCACGCGCAACCCGAGGCGAGCAUAUCACAGUCUGGAACAGCACCCACACCCUCAGGUGAGAAUCCGACAGCCUGAAGCAGCACCCACACCCCCAGGGGAGCAUCUGACAGUCUGGAGCAGCACCCACACAACCAGGCGAGCAUCGGACAGCCUGGAGCAGCACCCACACCCCCAGGCGAGCAUUCGACAGCCUGGAGCAGCACCCACAUCCCUAGGCGAGCAUCCGACAGCCUGGAGCAGCACCCACACCCCCAGGCCGGGAUCUGACAGCCUGGAGCAGCGCCAACACCCACAGGCGAGCAUCUGACAGCCUGGAGCAGCGCCCAGACCCCAAGGCGAGCAGCUGACAGCCUGGAGCAGCACCCACACCCCCAGGUGAGCAUCUCACUGCCUGGAGCAGCGCCCACACCCCCAGGGGAGCAUCUGACCGCAUGGAGCAGCACCCACACCCCGAGGUGAGCAGCUGACAGCCUGGAGCAGCACCCACACCCUCAGGUGAGCAUGUGACCGCCUGGAGCAGCACCCAGACCCCCAGGCGAGCAUCCGACCGCAUGGAGCAGCAUUCCACACCCCAGGCGAGCAUUUGACAGCCUGGAGCAGCACCCACAUCCCUAGGCGAGCAUCCGACAGCCUGGAGCAGCACCCACACCCCCAGGCCAGGAUCUGACAGCCUGGAGCAGCGCCAACACCCACAGGCGAGCAUCUGACAGCCUGGAGCAGCGCCUAAACCCCCAGGCGAGCAUCUGACAGCCUGGAGCAGCGCCCACACCCCCAGGUGAGCAUCUGACAGGCUGGAGCAGCACCCACACCCCCAGGCGAGCAUCUGACAGCCUGGAGCAGCACCCACACCCCCAGGUGAGCAUCUGACAGCCUGAAACAGCACCCACACCCCCAGGUGACCGUCUGACAGCCGGGAACAGCACCCACACCCCCAGGUGAGCAUCUGACCGCCCGGAACAGCAACCACACCCACCGGUGAGCAUCUGACAGCCUGGAACAGCAAACUGAACACCCAGGUGAGCAUCUGACAGUAUGGAACAGCACCCACACCCCCAGGCGAGCAUCUGACAGCCUGGAACAGCACCCACACACCCAGGUGAGCAUCUGACAGCCUGGAACAGCACCCACACCCCCAGGUGAGCAUCCGAUAGCCUGGAGCAGCACCCACACCGCUAGGUGAGCAUCUGAGAGCCUGGAACAGCACCCACACCCCCAGGCGAGCAUCUGACAGCCUGGAACAGAACCCAAACCCCCCAGGUGAGCAUCUGACAGGCUGGAAUAGCACCCACACCCCCAGGUGAGCAUCCGACCAGCUGGAGCAGCACGCGCAACCCGAGGCGAGCAUAUCACAGUCUGGAACAGCACCCACACCCUCAGGUGAGAAUCCGACAGCCUGAAGCAGCACCCACACCCCCAGGGGAGCAUCUGACAGUCUGGAGCAGCACCCACACAACCAGGCGAGCAUCGGACAGCCUGGAGCAGCGCCCACACCCCCAGGUGAGCAUCUCAACGCCUGGAGCAGCGCCCACACCCCCAGGCGAGCAUUCGACAGCCUGGAGCAGCGCCCACAUCCCCAGGGGAGCAUCCGACAGCCUGGAGCAGCACCCACACCCACAGGCGAGCAUCCGACAGUCGGGAGGAGCACCCACACCCCCAGUCGAGCAUCUGACAGCCUGGAGCAGAAUUCUCCAACCCCAGGUGAGCACCUGACAGCCUGGAGCAGCACCCACACCCCCAGGUGAGCAUCUGGCAGUCUAGAGCAGCAUCCACACCCCCAGGCGAGCAUCUGACAGCCUGGAGUAGCACCCACACCCCCAGGCGAACAUCCAACAGCCUGGAGCAGCACCCACACCCACAGGUGAGCAUCCGACAGCCUGGAGCAGCAUUCCACACGCCCAGGUGAGCAUCUGACAGUCUAGAGCAGCACCCACACCCCCAGGCCAGCAUCCGACAGCCUGGAGCAGCACCCACACCCCCAGGUGAGCAUCUGAGGCCUGGAGCAGCACCCACACCCCUAGGCGAGCAUCUGACGGCCUGGAGCAGCACCCACACCCCCAGGCGAGCAUCUGACGGCCUGGAGCAGCGCCCACACCCCCAGGCGAUCAUCUGACCACAUGGAGCAGCACCCACACCCCCAGGCGAGCAUCUGACCGCAUGGAGCAGCGCCCACACCCCCAGGCGAGCAUCUGACCGCAUGGAGCAGCGCCCAAACCCCCAGGUGAGCAUCUGAGAGCGUGGAGCAGCGCCCACACCCCCAGGCGAGUAUCUGACAGCCUGGAGCAGCACCCACAACCCCAGGUGAGCAUCUGACAGUCUGGAGCAGAAUUCUCCAACCCCAGGUGAGCAUCUGACAGCCUGGAGCAGCACCCACACCGCCACGGGAGCAUCCGACAGCCUGGAGCAGCACCCACACCCACAGGCGAGCAUCCGACAGGCUGGAGCAGCACCCACACGCCCAGGCGAGCAUCCGACAGCGCGGAGCAGCACCCACACCCACAGGCGAGCAUCCGACAGCCUGGAGCAGCACCCACAACCCCAGGCGCGCAUCUGACAGCCGGGAGCAUCACCCUGCAUACCCAGGUAAGCAUCUGACAAACUGGAACAGCACCCACACCCCCAGGCGAGCAUCUGACAGCCUGGAGCAGCACCUACUCCCUUAGGUGAGCAUCUGACAGCCUUGAGAACUGCCCACACCCUCAGGCGAGCAUCUGACAGCCUGGAGCAGCACCCACACCCCGAGGUGAGCAGCUGACAGCCUGGAGCAGCACCCACACCCUCAGGUGAGCAUGUGACCGCCUGGAGCAGCACCCAGACCCCAAGGCGAGCAUCCGACCGCAUGGAGCAGCAUUCCACACCCCAGGCGAGCAUUUGACAGCCUGGAGCAGCACCGACAUCCCUAGGCGAGCAUCCGACAGCCUGGAGCAGCACCCACACCCCCAGGCCAGGAUCUGACAGCCUGGAGCAGCGCCAACACCCACAGGCGAGCAUCUGACAGCCUGGAGCAGCGCCCAAACCCCCAGGCGAGCAUCUGACAGCCUGGAGCAGCGCCCACACCCCCAGGUGAGCAUCUGACAGGCUGGAG